GAUCCAGCUGACUGCCAAAAAAAAUCCCAUUGAUCAAAUGAUCUAUUUGAUCUACGAGAUCGUGUGCGCGUUUGUCAUGAUUAAUGAAUGGCCUACCCUCAGUCACCAUGGCAACAGCUCGUGGUUACCUUGACAACCACUGAAGGAACAGAGGAGAUAGGGAGAGAGAGGAGAGGAGGUAGGAAGAGGAAACAGGAUUGAGGAGAAGAGGUGAGGACGAAUGUGAUGAUGUCAUAAAGCAGAGGACCAAUCAGCACGUCAGGUUGUUUUUAUUGCUCAUCACUGGCACUGAUCGAUCAUGUUAUUGAGUGUGUUCAAAAAUGUGUUCUAAAACAGCAGUCUUUGCGUUGCCACGGCAACAGUGAAGCUGGUGGUCGAGGUCAGGGGUCGUGGAACAGGGCGCUGUAGAAAGCGGGCUCAGAGUGGCGGCAGCGGUACCGAGAGAUGAUGUCACUGAUCAUCUGCUUCCUUCUGACAUGUGGCGUGGGGGCGGAGUCACUCCACAACUGUCGUCGACGGCAACAAUUGAUCGCCAUCUCUCUGACUGACACACCUGACGACAGAGAAACAUGAGGACAGAGGACGGGGGACAGGGACGGAGAAAGACAAGUGGGACAGACAGACCCAGACAGCGUUUGCUGAGCACGCUCCCGCUGAGCAGCGGAAGAACAAGACUCAACUUGCUGCUGGACUUUUCGCGGACGGUGAUGUGGAAGAGCCCGCUUUUGAGACGACGGAUGAAGAUGAUCUGGACAUGGGAGACACUGACAGACAGAUGUCAUUACAAGAACAAGCUAGUGCAAUGUCACACUGCAAACAGCAGGGGGAAACAUACUCGUUUGAUUGGUCACUAAAUGCAAUCCCAGUCCUAUCCACAAGGUGGUGUGUUUUCGUCUCAUGUUUACAGUCACCCCCUUGAGGAGCACAGUUCCUUUUCCUUUUCAAAGGAACCUGCACCACAGGGCGAUUGUCGCGAGUCACGGUCGAAAUACGUCCAUGUUACAUUUUGUGCUCGUGCAUGUCAUCGUGCACACGCUGGCUUGCGACGCGAUCCCAGGAAGUUGAAAAAUGUUCAACUUUCAUCGCUGUCGCCCAGACGAGGACCAAUCAGCGUGAGUUUCAUUGAUUGACCAAUGAGCGGACAGGAUGCCAUUCCGUACUCUCUCGCAGUUAAACAUGGAAGAAAUGAAGACGUAUAUUUGACAUUUCUAAAAAAGCAUAUAGAGAUAUAAAUAAAAAAAGAAGCUGCAUGGGAACCUGCGUGUAAACGUAUCAGGUUGCAUCGAGAAACCUCCCACACCCUAUCAGGGGUCCAGGCAGGAACCAAAAACGCGCUCUGCUGACCAUCACAGCGCUGAAGGAGGUGAUGAUUGACAGCCAGAAGGUUGGACACUGAACUCCUUUAUGGCACUGGGCCCCUGCACACACACACACACACACACGUCUUCUCUCUCCCUGAGUGUCCUAUUCGGACAUGUCAAAUAAAACAUUGCUAGCAAAGCCUCGAAAAGUUAAACAUUUGGUUUAGUGAUGAGUCCUACGGACCCCUGCUGGACAAAUGCAUGCAGUGUUGAGCAUAUGUGUUCUUUAUUUCAAAAUUAGACAUGACCUUCCACCUUCUUGCAGGAAUUUUUUUUUCAGGAAGGUGGGGGGCGGGGGUCUGGUGGAGGAUGAAGGUGUGUUGGUCAUGAAGGGUUUAGAAUGGAUUCUUUCAUGAAUCGCGAGAUCACAUUUCUCCCUCAUGACCGAGAUUAGGAGUCUGCUUCUCCUCCAUGUUUGUCCUGCUAACCAGGAGAACGAGCUGCAGCAGGCAGACAGGAAGUGAUACACUUGGCGCUCCGUUGGCCACAUAAGAUGGAGGCGUGUAGAUGUUAGAAGAUGGAGGGGGCGUGCUUCCAUCUUAUUAGAAUGCUGUGGUGAAUGCAAGGUGCAUCAGAGGAUGUGGUGACAUAAUCACUUUUAUUGGUGUCUAUCAUCAGGACAGUCCGACAUUGAUGAUGUUAUGACAGGAAGUUGAGAGGCGGGCUUUGUUGUUACUGCCUCCUGUGGAGUAGUGUGACAUUGACGUGGUUGCGAGACGAGGACGUUGUGGAUCUAUGUCUGCAUGAAAAGAUGAAAGUUGGCUCUGGUGAACUCCUCGUGGAUGCUCUCCAGCAGGAUGUCGUCCUCCCGCUCCGCCUCGCCCGCGCUGUCCCUCGUCCUCCCCGCUGUCCUGAGCCCGCGCUCGUGGGGGGGCGCGUGGAGCUCGGGCGUGUACGUGAACGUGAAGGACGUGCGGUAGAGGACGCCGUCCGGGCGGAGCAGGGACACGGGCACGGUGACGACACGCCACCGAUGCUGCCGGCCGCCACUGAAGACCGAGACGUCUGGAACCACGCACAGCAGAGACUUGGGACAUCUGACAAGAGACAGAAGACACCAUCACACGGAGGAGCACGCUCAUCAAAAGGUGUCCUCAAAAAGACUCUUGAAAGAACAUCAGCAGCAGCAGGGACAAGACACUAAAACCACUAGUUAGCUAGCUGACAUACAGUAAAUAGGACAAUAAGCACUGAACAAGCAAUCAUAAUUAACUAACCAAGUAACUCAGAAGUAAAUUAGCUAUUAAACUAACUGGCUAGCACCAGUGUACCAGCUAGUAACCAACUGGCUAGCAAAUAAACUAACCAGCAAACUAACAAUUAAACUAAGUCACUAACUUGCAGCAAAAUAACAAACUAGAAAACUAACCUGCAAACUAACAAGUAAAUUUACUUCCCAAAUAACACUCUAACAACCAAACUACCCAAAAAUAUAUUAACUACUAUACUACCAAUUAAACUAGGUAACUAACUAGCUAGUCAUGUAACAGUUGGACUAACCUGUAAACUAACAAGCAAACUAACUAACUAAUACUCUAAACUAGCUACAAAACAAUUAAGCAAUUAAACUAUGUAACUAACUAGCUAACAUGCUUGCUAGUAUAUUAACUAUGUAGCUAACUAACUAGGUGAACUAUCAAGCACACUAGUAACCUAAAUAUAAAAAUAACGAAUUAAUUAGCUAGUAAACUAAAUAGUAAAGCAAUGGUAAACUAACUUGCUUUCUUGUAAAUUAACAAACUAUAAAACAAACCUGUAAACUAACUUGUAAAAUAGCUAAGUAGCUACAAAACUAACCAAUUAACUAGCUAUUGAAUUACAGUACAUAACAUCGAGGGAAAGGCUUCUUGAGACGUCAUCUGUACUUCUGUGAAGAAGGUGUCGGACGUUUCGCUCCUCAUCCAAAGGGCUUCGUCAGCGAACUAAUAAGUGCUGGUAGCCUAGGCCUUAAAUACAGUAAGAGUGGGCAGAAUUGGUGUGCCAACACCCUCCUCCUAUUGGUUCCUUACACUAAGACUGGGCGGAGUAGUGGUAUAAUCCUCUCCAGCUAUUAACACCUCCGAUAAAAGGGAAGCGUCGCUCCCUGAGUUGGGUAUGAACGACUCUGAUACUGGCUUGUUAGCAUCUAUUGUUCUGGCUCGGCCCUGGCUUCACCUCAUUUGCAAGACUAAGAGCUGUGGGUUUUGGUCUCAGUAACCUAAACAUACAUAACAUGUCAACUAACAAUGAAACAAGUCACUAACCAGCUUUCUCAGGGCCUUGCUCGAACGUCUAAGCCAAGCGUUCCUGUCCUGAUGCCUCCUCCUUUACAGGAUAAAUAGCUUGGAUCUUACACCAAGUUCUCAGACUAGAGCUGUCCUAUCUAGUGUGACUGGCGUGUGUCCUACCUAGUCUUUGAGCAUGAACUGGUGAACUGCUCGGCUGAGAUGCCAAACGUCUUCUAAGGUGACAACAUGAAUAAUAAAAAAACCUCAUAACAUUACGUUAUUAUUGGGAUGAAUGUGCAGGUCGCACUUUUCCACAAACCUGCGUUUCCGGGUCGUGUGAUUUGUUGUUAGCAAACGAGACGUUGCGAAAUGGUUGUUGUUGGUUGUUCAGUGGAGAGGAAACGCUUCAGACCACUUAUCCUCCACUCCUGUCUCCUUUUCAAUCACAUCUCCACAUUUGGUGACCCUCGACUUGAGUAAUACGCCGAGCGUAUCGGCGCCGCUCAAAGCUAACGAGGCAGCUAACGCCGUUGCUGUCUACGCCCGACUUUUGGCAACACAAAACACGCCCGUGGUUUCAACGCAUCGAAGCCCAGUUCCGACUGCGAAGAAUAACACAGGACGUGGACCUCCACUGUCUCUCGUAACGCAGAAACGGUAGGCCGGAUCAUUUUAGUGGUUUUGAAACGGUGACUUUUUCGAGGUGGUAACCGGGCCGUGCCUACAUGUUUUACACUUACAUAAAUAUUUCAAUGUUUGAAAAAAAAACCUUCCAAGGUGAAGACACGAUGAUGAGACAGCCCACGGUGUGUCUCAGACUGCACGUCUGCUGUAUUUUAUAGAAAUUCCACCAUAAAGUCCAAAUGAGAGUGUUUGGAAUGCGGCUCGGAUAAUUGAAGCCCGACUCCGACCUGCUGGCUGACAUUUUGAAAAGGAAACGCUCCAGACUGUUACUUGAUAUUCACGCCAACUUUUAUGGUGGUCUACUGACACCGGCAAGACUUUCACUUAGUGUGUGCGCGUGUGUGUGUGUGUGUGUGUGUUACAGCAGCAUGCUGAUGGAAGGAAGACUCGUAAAGAAGAUGAUGAUUGUCAGGGAUGAGAGUCGUCAUUACGAUGGUGUACCAUGUCGUCCCAACGUGUCUUUGACAUGUCGUGGAGGUGUUUGGUGGGCUUACUUGAACAUGGUCUCGGCCUCUGUGUUUCCAAAGCACACUUUGAGAUGAGGGCCAAAGUUUUCUCCGAGGAGUUCCAACAUGGCCACGUGGCCCCCGCCGUUCACCUGCGGCAGGAGAGGAGUUGGACGUGAUUGACAGCAGCAAGAACGCUACUGAUGUUGUUCAUGUUGCUCACGUCCAGGCUGCUGACCACCGGGAAAGGACUGAUGGGGGUCUGGACGCAGACCGCCUCCUGGUUGAAGGUGUAGUCCACCACCUCCACUCCAAUGACGGUCCAACACGAGCCGUCGUUCAGGACCACCCUGCCGGGGUCUCGGACACUGGAAGCGGCCUGGUGUGGGAAGGCGGGGUGGACGUCAUUUAUGCCUUUCCUCCAUUUUAUAGGCAGGAGGUUGCUCACCUGGUGCACCACGAUGGCGUCAUUGGACAAACACAAGUAGGCGUGAGGCGUGUCUCUGAACUCCAAGGCGCACUUGUGCAGCUGAGAGACGGGCUCAUCCACCUCCAAGAUGGCGUGCUGCUUGUUGACCUUUCGGAUCACCUGGUGGCGCCAACGACACAGAACCUUCUUUAAGAAACCUUCUCUUUCCAAAGGAGGCCACGCUAGCGCCACAGCAGCAGUAACCGGACGCCGCCGCCGCCGCCGCCCAUGCGCACGUUUGUGUUUUUGUUCUGAGGUUUCCCUGCUGAGUCGUCACGGCGGCGGACAUCUGCCUCCAGGUGAGGAUGCUCAUGCAUGUCAGCAACUUCAAGUCAACGAGCAUCAAAGGAGUGUGUUUUUACUUCUUCUUUGGCUUUUUUUUGCCACAAAAAAGAAGCAUGCAUGUCAGCAAGGGUGUAAAAAGAAGAAGAAUAUAGACGGAUUUUGGAGAUAUUUUUCAGAUAUUUCAACUUUCUUCCUAAAUAAUCUUCAUCAAUUAUCUUCUGGUAAUAUUUGGACUUUAUUCCCAUAUAACUUUUCCCCCACCUAAUUUUCCUACAACUUUUUUUUAUUUUUUUACAAAUUUUUGUUUGUUUCUCAUAAUAUGACUUAAAAAACUUUUUUCCUUACAACUCUAUGCGACUAAAAUUACAUCCUUUUUUCUUAAUAUUGUGACUUUAUCCUCGUAAAAUUACAGCUGUUUUUCCCCCAUUUCUGCUGUUGACCCCCCCCACCUACUACUUUAUUCCCAUAUAUUUUCACUCUAUUCUCAUAACAUAACUUUUUCCGCAACCUAAUUUUCCCAAAAUUACAGCUUUAUCCAUUGUUUUGUUUUUUCUCAUUAAUUAAAAAAUGUUUAAAAACCAAACUUUACUUUUUCCUCAUAAUAUUACAACGUAAAAUGCCAACUCUCAUUAGAUUACAAAUUUUUCCUCCUACUUUAUUCUUGUAAAAUUACUGCUUAUCUUUCCAUUUUUGCUGUUGUUGUUUGUUGUUAAAUGAUAUUUUUAUAAUGUGCAAUGGGCCAAUAAAAAAAAAAAACAGCAGUGGGCCGCAAAUAGCCCGUGGGCCACACUUUGGACACCCCUGUUAUAUACGAUUAACACUGCUUCACUUCUUUUUACACUUAAAAAGGCUGCCAGCACACUGGAACAGACUAUUCUUCUACUGGUUUCAUUACAUAGAU